AGCUGCAACUAAAGUUCUUGCUCGACAGUUGGUAAGGCUUACGCAGUAGAUUGCUAACCUUCAAGGUAGUCGAGCUCAGAUGAGAGGCAUAGCAACUCACACACAGCUAUUGAGAGAGCAGAAGAACAAGUUUGAAGAGGUUCCGCUGUUUUCGCUUUGCUCCUUCAUCCCUGCUGGUGCAUUCGUCUCUGCCAUUCCCUACUCAGUCUUCUCUGCCAUUAGUCACUGAGUCUGCAAUUUAUUGGUUAGUUUCAAGGUGUACUGUAGUUUCUAUGUUUUUAAGUUUUAUAAGGUUCAGAGUGUGACAAAAUUAAAAGGUGUGGAGCCUGGACCAUAGUAGUAUUUUGAUUGUUGGAUAUUCCAGUUCAAAAAGCUUGAUGACCAUUUCUAUA